GUCUCCGUAGAUCAACGGUGAUCACCUUGCACGUAUAAUACUGAGUAGUGCUCACCGUGACGAGGGAUGCGAGUUCGACUCUCGCCGGAGGCC